rnacentral:snRNA from 1 species
GGCUUUGCGCAAUGGCAGUAUCAUAGCCAAUGAGGUUAAUCCGAGGCGCGAUUAUUGCUAGUUGAAAAAUUUCUUAUAUGCUUUAUGUAAUGCCCGUUCUGUGGUAGAGCCCAGAAGUCCUAUUUAGAAUUGAGGUCACAUUAGCUAGAAU